rnacentral:lncRNA from 1 species
GGGCGGUGUUCCUGUGUUCUUAGGGCCCCAGGAGGCGAGUCUGAGUGGAACCUGGCUGGGGUAGGCUGAAAGGUGAUUUCGACGCUCUUCUGAGGCCUCAGACGUGUGUGAUGACUGCCCUGUAGAAUCAGUGCUGUGACCCCGAGUAACAACGCGCGCUUGAGUUGGUAUAAACUCCUGAAGGUCUAAAGCUCAAGUCUAAAUAAUUUGGAAGAUGG